GUUACCGUGGACUACGACGAACGACGCCUGGCCGGCGUGCCGUAAUACAUGCAAGUCGAGCGGGUUUGUCCUUCGGGACAAGCUAGCGGCGGACGGGUGAGUAACACGUAGGUAACCUGCCUUUAAGACUGGGAUAACUAUCGGAAACGAUAGCUAAGACCGGAUAACUGGUUUUCUCGCAUGAGAGAAUCAUAAAACACGGAGCAAUCUGUGGCUUAAAGAUGGGCCUGCGGCGCAUUAGCUAGUUGGUGAGGUAACGGCUCACCAAGGCGACGAUGCGUAGCCGACCUGAGAGGGUGAACGGCCACACUGGGACUGAGACACGGCCCAGACUCCUACGGGAGGCAGCAGUAGGGAAUCUUCCGCAAUGGACGCAAGUCUGACGGAGCAACGCCGCGUGAGUGAUGAAGGUUUUCGGAUCGUAAAGCUCUGUUGCCCUAGACGAACAGCAGGGAGAGUAACUGCUCUCUGUGUGACGGUAUAGGAGAGGAAAGCCCCGGCUAACUACGUG
rnacentral:rRNA from 1 species